AGUUGCCCUGGCUCAGCGACCACCCUUCAGGCUCCCCAACUCCCGUUGGUCCCGAACUCCCCUCCCCCGCACCCCAUCCUUUCGGAUCCCAGUUGCUCCAGACAGUCCUGCUGUGCCACCCAGGCUGGAGUGUAGUGGUGCAAUUCGGUUCACUGCAACCUCUGCCUCCCGGGUUCAAGCAACUCUCCUGCCUCAGCCUCCCAAGUAGUUGGGAUUACAGGUGCUCACCACCACGCCCGGCUAAUUUUUGUAAACUUAGUAGAGUCAGAGUUUCCCCAUGUUGGCCAGGCUGGUCUCAAACUCCUGACCUCAUGUGAUCUGCCCGCCUCAGCCUCCCCAAAGUGCUGGGAUUACAGGUGAGAGCCACCGCGCCCGGCGUAUUUUGUAAUUCUCUAUAAAGAAAAGAGAAAGAUCAGUCUUUUCUCCAGCAUGGCUGAUUAAAUUUGUUUCUUAAUAAUUGUUUAUAAAUUUAUUUCAGCAUCACAACUCAUUACUGAUAUUGUUAACGUACUUUUUUAGGGUUAUUGUUCAGUUUGGGAAACCUCUCUCAAGUUUCAUGGAUGUGCU
rnacentral:lncRNA from 1 species